AGGGAAAACGGGAAUUUUGGGGCGGAAAAAAAUGGGAAUUUUGGGGGUGGGAAUGGCCAGUUUGAUAUUUGGUGUUGUUUUUGAUGGCUGGAAAAAGGAAAAAAAAUCAUGGAAAACACCAGGAAAAGGAGGAAUUUGGGAAUAUUCCACAGCUGGAAUCCCCAAAUCCCAGCGAUUUUCACCAAGGGGAGUUUCUCCUUUCCGUCGUGGUUUUUAAUGGAUACAAAAGAACAGAAAAUGGG